UCUCCCUCUUGUUUCACUAUGCUUCCUGUUGUUUUUCCUUUUCCUCCUCCUCCAAAAGAAGGGGAAGAAGUGUACGUUGGCGCUAAAAUUAAAAAAUUGCAAGAAUUUGGCAAAAUUCAAA
rnacentral:ribozyme from 14 species